CUUACCUGGGCCUGAAACCCAUUGCCUUCUCUCUGAGUUAAGCUAUCUCCAGCCCCAUGCUUGGGACCUGUACUGAACGAAGUGUAUUUUAUUAUACUCAUCAGGUGUGGACUUUCAGACUGGCUCGCCCCUAAUGCUUCUGGCUCCAGAAGACUGCCCAAAGUCUACUCCACGUCUGAGGUUGGGUCAUCCCAGAAGGAAACCCUGAGCCAAAAAUUUUAAUGCAAGUGAUUUAUUAAGGCGGUGAUCCCAGGAGGACAGCAUAAUGGAAUCCAGAAUUGGGAGGAAGAUGAGUCAACAGAUGGGGCAAUUUCAAGUGAAAACCCAACAUCAGCCAAAGUCUAUGAAAAGCUAUGGAAGAGAAUCUCCACAUCAGUUUGUCAUGUCUUGAAGCAAAGGACCUCACCUUUUACUUCUUUACCAAUCUCUUCAAAAAGACAUAAUUUCGACAUUUCUCUAGGUAGACUGAGAGAAGAUUGGAAAUCAUUUGUUCAGAUAGUAGGGCCACCAAACAACUGAAGACGACGUAACUCCCACUUUCUAUAUACAUCCAUCG